rnacentral:rRNA from 1 species
UACGGAGGGUGCAAGCGUUGCUCGGAAUUAUUGGGCGUAAAGGGGAGGUAGGUGGUCUCAUUUGUCUGGGGUGAAAGCCUUGAGCUUAACUCAAGAAGUGCCCCGGAAACGGUGAGACUGGAGUCCUGGAGAGGGUCGUGGAAUUCCCGGUGUAGCGGUGAAAUGCGUAGAGAUCGGGAGGAACACCUGAGGCGAAGGCGGCGACCUGGACAGGUACUGACACUCAACUCCGAAAGCGUGGGGAGCAAACAGG